CAGUCGCCGCGGGAAUACAGAGGGUGCGAGCGUUAAUCGGAUUUACUGGGCGUAAAGCGUGCGUAGGCGGCUUCUUAAGUCGGAUGUGAAAUCCCUGAGCUUAACUUAGGAAUUGCAUUCGAUACUGGGAAGCUAGAGUAUGGGAGAGGAUGGUAGAAUUCCAGGUGUAGCAGUGAAAUGCGUAGAGAUCGGAAGGAACAUCUGUGGCGAAGGCGACUAUCUGGGCCAACACUGACACUGAGGCACGAAAGCGUGGGGAGCAAACAGGAUUAGAUACCCCGGUAGUCCCUGUCUCUUAUAA
rnacentral:rRNA from 1 species